CGCUUUCUCCUGGCUUCUGUGUGCGGACCCAUUGCAUCAUGGCGGGAAGAGCUCUGAGAAGGAAAACAAAAAGAGAAAUCACAGAUGGAAAGGGGAACAGAGACAAAUAGACCAAAAAAACAGAAAAGAAGCCUACAAGUACUCAUGUGUCUACACCUAACUGACCUUCAAGAAAGGUACCAAGGAUAUGUAUUGAAUAAGUGAAAGCCUUUCAAUAAAUGGUGCUGUGAACAUUGGAUAUCCAUGUAUAGAAGAAUGAAUUUCUAUUUCUGUCUCCCAACCAGUUACCCAUAUUAUAUAAAAUAAAUUGAAGACAUAAAUGUAAGACCUGAAAUAAGAAACUAGAAGAUAAUUAUAAGAAAAGCACUUCAAGACAUUAGAACAUACAAUUUUUUGAAAUGAUAUCAUUUAUUUGAUUUAUUUUCAGAAGCAGACAAAUGAAAUCACAUCAAACUAAAUAGCUUCUGCAUAGCCAAAAGAAAAAAAAUUCAACAGAGCAAAGAAACAACCUACAGAAUAGGAGGAAACAUUUACAAACUAUAAAACUGACAACAGGUUAAUAUAAACAUAUAU